GACCAUUGGAUAAAGCCAUUGGGAAUGUAGCAUCUUUAGAUGUGUUAUAGCCUGGUGAUGCAUACGGUGGUUGGGAUUGAGGAAUUCAGCACGCCACCAGGCCGGGUUUCGACCACGUUCGUGCUCAGGAUGCUGGCAUAAUGGCUUUAAUUGACCCGUCUUGAAACACGGACCAAGGAGUCUAACAUAUCUGCGAGUGUUUGGGUGAAAACCCAUGUGCGUAAUGAAAGUGAAAGUUGAGAUCCCUUCUCAAGGGAGCAUCGACGCCCGGACCAGACCUUUUGUGACGGAUCCGCGGUAGAGCAUGUAUGUUGGGACCCGAAAGAUGGUGAACUAUGCCUGAAUAGGGUGAAGCCAGAGGAAACUCUGGUGGAGGCUCGUAGCGAUUCUGACGUGCAAAUCGAUCGUCAAAUUUGGGUAUAGGGGCGAAAGACUAAUCGGACCAUCUAGUAGCUGGUUCCUGCCGAAGUUUCCCUCAGGAUAGCAGAAACUCAUAUCAGAUUUAUGUGGUAAAGCGAAUGAUUAGAGGCCUUGGGGUUGAAACAACCUUAACCUAUUCUCAAACUUUAAAUAUGUAAGAACGAGCCGUCUCUUGACUGGACUGCUCGAUGAUUGAGAGUUUCUAGUGGGCCAUUUUUGGUAAGCAGAACUGGCGAUGCGGGAUGAACCGAACGCGAGGUUAAGGUGCCGGAAUUCACGCUCAUCAGACACCACAAAAGGUGUUGGUUCAUCUAG
rnacentral:rRNA from 1 species